rnacentral:lncRNA from 1 species
CAGAGUCAGUACAUAUUUGACAUAUAAUGACAACAAAAACAAAUUAACUUUGCCUCAAAGUGAUGACACUGUUACAUAAAUGUGCCUUUAUUA